UAUUAGGGACAAACAACCAUGGGUACUCUUAAUCUCAUCUGUUCUCGAAAGCUAAGCAAGGUUUGGCUUGGUUAGUAUUUGAAUGGGAGACCCUUUGGGGGGAAAAAAUUAACAGUAUUGUUAAAGA
rnacentral:rRNA from 1 species